rnacentral:rRNA from 1 species
AGAUUGAACGCUGGCGGCAUGCCUAACACAUGCAAGUCGAACGGGAGUAGCAAUACUCUAGUGGCGGACGGGUGAGGAAUACGUAGGAAUUUGCCCUUAAGUGGGGGAUAACCCGGGGAAACCCGGAUUAAUACCGCAUGACCUCGAAAGAGCAAAGUGGGGGAUCGCAAGACCUCACGCUUUUGGAGAAGCCUACGUCGGAUUAGCUAGUUGGUGAGGUAAUGGCUCACCAAGGCGACGAUCCGUAACUGGUCUGAGAGGAUGAUCAGUCACACCGGAACUGAGACACGGUCCGGACUCCUACGGGAGGCAGCAGUGGGGAAUAUUGGACAAUGGGCGCAAGCCUGACC